AUGAUGACACAUGAGGUCUACUCCCGCCUUCUCCUCACCGAGCAGCGUGUCGAGGCGCGCCGCUCCAAGGUCAGUCACGGCUCCCUCUCCGCGAAUGCCGCCACUAAGGGUGGUCGCAGCUCGUCCAAGGGUCCGCCCCCGGCUUCGUCUUCGUCAUCUUCGGCUCCCCCUGCGUCCGCAACCCUACCAGGGCCAGUAGUCGACGCGUGUGUCAGUUGUGUGGCAUUGAGGGGCACUGGUCCUCCAAGUGUCACAAACGCUUUCAGCGGAGUUUUCUUGGUCUUGGCAAUGACGACAAGGACACACGCAACUUUGCCCGUCAGGUUGCCAUGGCUGAUCGUCCGGCGCCGCAGAAGCAACAAGGACACACUCAGUCCUACUCCAUCGAUCCCCAUUGGUACAUGGACUCUGGGGCGACGGAGCACCUGA
rnacentral:rRNA from 1 species